UCGGUGACAGGUGGUGCAUGGCUGUCGUCAGCUCGUGUCGUGAGAUGUUGGUUAAGUCCCGCACGAGCGCAACCCUUAUCAUUAGUUGCUACGCAAGGGCACGUCUAAUGAGACUGCCGGUGACAGACCGGAGGAAGGUGGGGAUGACGUCAAGUCCUCAUGGCCCUUAUGGUAGGGCUUCGCACGUCAUACAAUGGUCGGUACAGAGGGUUGCCAAGCCGCGAGGUGGAGCCAAUCCCAGAAAGCCGAUCGUAGUCCGGAUUGUUCUCUGCAACUCGAGAGCAUGAAGUCGGAAUCGCUAGUAAUCGUGAAUCAGAAUGUCACGGUGAAUACGUUCCCGGGCCUU
rnacentral:rRNA from 1 species